rnacentral:lncRNA from 1 species
CAGAUUGAUUGCUUAUUUGCAAAUCAUUUUUUAUAUUGUUGUCAUUACCUUGGUUGAACAUCCCAAGAAGCUGGUCUCAUUGGCUGUUGGUUUAUCAGCCUGGGCCAUCACAACUUUUGGUCCCCAAGGUGUUGGCUCCUCUUGUUUUCUCUGUCCAGAGACAACCCGAGCAGUUGGCUGGUUCACCUUCUACAAUGAGAAACGGCCACUCAUCAACACACAGAGUCUUGUCAUCCCCCUCCGGUUGAGCAAACUGCAAAGACAUAGUAAGAAUUAUAUGUACAUUACAAUUGAGAAAUGGAAACCCAAAAUUACACUUUCUUAAAGGGAACUUAGAGAAAAUAUCAAAAGAAUAGAGAACCGCACUCUAUUCACUGAAUGUGUUUAAUCAUUACAUGUUGUAUGCAAAUUACCUUGCUCGAAUGCACAAAGACGCUGCCCUCCAGAGUGGCUGGCACAGCAGCUUCUGGAACAGGUCGAGGAGGAGGUACGCCCUCCAGAGUAGCUGGUACAGCAGCUUCUGGAACAGGUCGAGGGGGAGGUACCAGCUUCGAAGCUAUCAUACCAAUGUACAAACCUCAUGAGGAAGGAUCCGCACGGAAGACUGAUCCCAGUCCUCAGGCGCAUCCCAGGACUCAGGUUGGCUGCGCUAUAAACACAUAG